ensembl:snoRNA small nucleolar RNA SNORD88
UGACCCCUGUGAUGUCCAGCACAGGGCUCUGCUCUGUGACGACACGGUGCUCCCCCGGGACCUUUGACCCCCGGGGGUGGGAAGGGUCC